CCCUACGGGGCGCAGCAGGCGCGAAAACUUUACAAUGCUGGAAACAGCGAUAAGGGGACCUCGAGUGCCAGGUUACAAAUCUGGCUGUCGUGAUGCCUAAAAAGCAUUGCAUAGCAAGGGCCGGGCAAGACCGGUGCCAGCCGCCGCGGUAACACCGGCGGCUCGAGUGGUAACCGUUAUUAUUGGGUCUAAAGGGUCUGUAGCCGGCCGGAUAAGUCUCUUGGGAAAUCCAGCAGCUCAACUGUUGGGCUUUCAGGAGAUACUGUCUGGCUCGAGGCCGGGAGAGGUGAGAGGUACUUCAGGGGUAGGGGUGAAAUCUUGUAAUC
rnacentral:rRNA from 1 species